rnacentral:rRNA from 1 species
UGGGGAAUCUUCCGCAAUGGGCGCAAGCCUGACGGAGCAACGCCGCGUGAGUGACGAAGGUUUUCGGAUUGUAAAACUCUGUCCGCAGGGAAGAAGAAAGUGACGGUACCUGUGGAGGAAGCCCCGGCUAACUACGUGCCAGCAGCCGCGGUAAAACGUAGGGGGCAAGCGUUGUCCGGAAUUACUGGGCGUAAAGGGCGAGUAGGCGGCAAGGCAAGUUAGAAGUGAAACCUAUCGGCUCAACUGAUAGCCUGCUUCUAAAACUGCCUAGCUUGAGUACAGAAGAGGGGAGUGGAAUUCCCAGUGUAGCGGUGAAAUGCGUAGAUAUUGGGAGGAACACCAGUGGCGAAAGCGGCUCCCUGGCCUGUAACUGACGCUGAGGCGCGAAAGCGUGGGUAGCAAACAGG